rnacentral:rRNA from 1 species
ANACAACUUUCAACAAUGGAUCUCUUGGCUCUCGCAUCGAUGAAGAACGCAGCGAAAUGCGAUAAGUAAUGUGAAUUGCAGAAUUCAGUGAAUCAUCGAAUCUUUGAACGCAUCUUGCGCUCCUUGGUAUUCUGAGGAGCAUGCCUGUUUGAGUGUCAU